rnacentral:rRNA from 1 species
GUGGGGAAUCUUCCACAAUGGACGAAAGUCUGAUGGAGCAACGCCGCGUGAGUGAAGAAGGGUUUCGGCUCGUAAAGCUCUGUUGUCGGGGACGAAUGUGCAGUAUUUGAAUAAAGUACUGUAAUGACGGUACCUGACGAGGAAGCCACGGCUAACUACGUGCCAGCAGCCGCGGUAAUACGUAGGUGGCAAGCGUUGUCCGGAAUUAUUGGGCGUAAAGGGAGCGCAGGCGGGAAGGUAAGUCGGUCUUAAAAGUGCGGGGCUCAACCCCGUGAUGGGAUCGAAACUAUCUUUCUUGAGUGCAGGAGAGGAAAGUGGAAUUCCUAGUGUAGCGGUGAAAUGCGUAGAUAUUAGGGGGAACACCAGUGGCGAAGGCGACUUUCUGGACUGUAACUGACGCUGAGGCUCGAAAGCCAGGGGAGCGAACGGGAUUAGAUACCCGAGUAGUCC